CUCCCUCCUUGCUCUUCAACUGCAACAGCAAUAAUAACCAACAAUUUUUCUGGUCAGUACCAUAACACAGCGGACUCUGAUGCUCUUUUUGGUUCCAGUGGACUACACAUCAUCCACCUUAAUGUGAACAGCCUCUCUGGAGCCAAACUCGACCAAAUCAGAGAAAUGUUCCUCAACACGAAGACUCCUGCCACCGCCGCUCGUCCAUCUGUGCACUCCAGUUUCCUCUCCGCUGUGGGCGCACUUCCGCACGGCUGCAGGAGAUCUGCAAUCUGCGCACCUGCCUGGGAUGAACGAGCUGCCUUCAUAAGCUCGCACAACCUGCCAUGCCGGGCCGGAAUAUAACCUUCUGUUCGCGUACAUACCCUCCAUCGCCUGGAAAGUGAGCUGUGCGUCUCACUUUUCCCUGGAUCUCCCUCUGGACUCUGACUGCCUCCCUCGAUCCUUGACUUCCCCCGCUUUGGACUCGGACUUGUAGACUUCUCUCUCCCCUGGACUUCCUCGUCUCUCGUUCAACACUUGGUAACACACACUUCAGCUAACUACACACAUAGCCUCACACACACACUCUUGGGUUUUGACACACUCCAUUUCCUUAGUUAGUAUAUAUAGUAGUAUUGUUUGACUAUUAUAUUUAUAUACACUACCGUUCAAAAGUUUGGGGUCACCCAAACAAUUUUGUGGAAUAGCCUUCAUUUCUAAGAACAAGAAUAGACUGUCGAGUUUCAGAUGAAAGUUCCCUUUUUCUGGCCAUUUUGAGCGUUAAAUUGACCCCACAAAUGUGAUGCUCCAGAAACUCAAUCUGCUCAAAGGAAGGUCAGUUUUGUAGCUUCUGUAACGAGCUAAACUGUUUUCAGAUGUGUGAACAUGAUUGCACAAGGGUUAGUUAGUCCAGAACGCGGCAGCACGACUUUUAACAGCAUAUAACCCCAAUUCUUCGGAGUUUGCACUGGCUCCCUGUUCAUUUUAGAAUUGAUUUUAAAUC